rnacentral:rRNA from 1 species
UACGAAGGGGGCUAGCGUUGUUCGGAUUUACUGGGCGUAAAGCGCACGUAGGCGGAUCGUUAAGUCGGGGGUGAAAUCCUGGAGCUCAACUCCAGAACUGCCCUUGAUACUGAGGAUCUUGAGUUCGGGAGAGGUGAGUGGAACUGCGAGUGUAGAGGUGAAAUUCGUAGAUAUUCGCAAGAACACCAGUGGCGAAGGCGGCUCACUGGCCCGAUACUGACGCUGAGGCACGAAAGCGUGGGGAGCAAACAGG